rnacentral:rRNA from 1 species
UACGUAGGGACCGAGCGUUGUCCGGAAUUACUGGGCGUAAAGAGCUCGUAGGCGGUGUGUCGCGUCGGCCGUGAAAACCUGCAGCUUAACUGUGGGCUUGCGGUCGAUACGGGCAUCACUGGAGUUCGGCAGGGGAGACUGGAAUUCCUGGUGUAGCGGUGAAAUGCGUAGAUAUCCGGAGGAAUACCAGUGGCGAAGGCGGCUUUCUGGUCUGAGUUCUGACGCUGAGGAGCGAAAGCCAGGGGAGCGAACGGG